GGUUUACAUUACACCUGAGCCGGGGGUGUCCGUGUCCCUGGGGGGUGGGCAUCCACUUCUAUAUUUUCCGAUGAACCGCCGCAGUUUUCUUGAGUUCUUCAUCCUUGUUAGUUUAGGAUUAACCUUCUAGGCCGGUUGGAUCCGACUGCUGGUAAAACACACACUCUUCUGGUUCUACUCCCCGACGCGUCCUCGCGUCUCUCCCCUCAAGCUCCGCUAUCCUCAGUGGCCCACGCAGAACUCAUCACCUUCAACCUCCAAGACGAUAGUUACAUACUACGAAAGAUUUUCUUCCAAGCUCUUUGUAUUACUCUGUACCCCCCCGCCCCCCGGGUAAAAAUAAAUCUUUUCAAAGAACUAUGGGCUCUGAGUACUUCCGGGUUUCAGCAUCUGGGUCUGCCACGUCUUUGACGUCAUGACAGAACGAACUGGCCAACACCCAGACCCAGCUGACCCGGAAGGACUCUGUUUCGCCGUCACGCAGCAAGGAUUAGCGCUCGGUCAUCAAGCCGAAACCCUCAGCCAGAUGGCGUCAGCCCAGCAGGAUUUGUUCCGCCGUUUGGACGGCAUUUCUCAAGUCUUAGUUGAGCUAACAGGUCAGCAAUCGGCCACGACUACAUUUAGCUCAUCAUCUCCCCCUGCUGGGGGUUCUAAUCAAUCCACCGCCAACUGGACUCAAGAAAACUUCCGCCUACAACCCGAACCAUUUCAAGGUGACGUUGAAUAGUGCGGAUGUUUUCUUUUAGAAUGCCAAUUAAUCUUUCAGCAGGCCCUGUGGUAUUACCACGCUGACCACAGCAAGAUUACUCUUGUCGUUAACUCCCUCCGAGGUAAAGCUCUCCAAUGGGCCCAAGCUUACUUAUCUGCUAACCCUAUUUUCUAAGUGCCUUUUGAACGUUUCAUCGGGGAGUUUCGUCUGGUCUUCGACCUACCCCGCAAAGCUGAGGAGGCUACCUGUCGCCUUUGGGACUAAGACAACGCAGCUGUGCUCCCGAAGCUAAGACAUUCGAAGAGCUCGUCACCGCCGCCUUUUGGUCUGACAUACGGCUCCGGGAACGACAGAUGGAGCGCUCACGUCCUCAAAUCACCAGGUCAGGACCAUCUCCUCCUGGCUUCCGUUAAAACAUCAAUCGAACCUCUGAGGAACCGAUGCAGAUCGGCCACUCCAAGCUCACCCCGGAGGAAUGUCGUCGACGUAAGGAGGAAGGUACCUGCUUUUAUUGUGGUCAAUCUGGCCAUCACGUUCAUCAGUGUUCUUUGCGUUUAAACUCAAGAGCCCCCCGCUAGAAGACAGGCCGCGGGAGGGUCCUCCAUCUGUUACUCAGGAAAAUAAUUUCCUCUACGUUCCUGUCAAGCUAUGCCACCAGUCCCAGACUCAUGAAUGUCAGGCUCUCAUUGAUUCUGGAGCAGAACAAAGUUUUAUUGACUCUCAUUUGGUUUCCAAGCUCAGCCUCCCCGUCGAACCUCUGGACCAUCCGGUCAAAGCGGCUGGGUUAGGCAGACAACUGCUCACUCGCAUCACUCAUUGCACCAAGCCGGUCCAACUCAUCACCUCUGGUAACCAUCAUGAAUACUUGCAAUUUUACAUCACCCAAACUCUCCAGUCUCCUGUUAUCUUAGGGUUCCCCUGGUUACGUAAUCACAAUCCACAAUUCGACUGGGCUAACUAUCAGAUCACCAAUUGGAGCACCCACUGUAUGGUUAACUGUCUCCGCUCCGCCAUUCCCUCCGUGCCCCCCAGCCCUGAUCCGGUUUCGGAAGAGAUCGACCUCACCAAGGUACCCUCCUAUCAUCAUGACCUCAAGUCGGUGUUCAGUAAAAUAAAGGCGGGUGCUUUACCCCCUCACAGGCCCUAUGACUGCUCCAUCGAGCUAUUAAGCGGAGCCACGCUCCCUAAGGGCCGUCUUUUCAAUCUGUCCGGCCCUGAAAAACUCGCGAUGGAGAAAUAUAUUCACGAAUCCCUUUCUUCAGGUCACAUCCGCCCAUCCUCAUCUCCUGUCAGUGCUGGUUUUUUCUUCGUCCAGAAGAAAGAUAAAACCUUAUGACCCUGUAUUGACUACCGGGAUCUCAACCAGAUCACUGUUAAAAAUAAAUGUUCUCUGCCCCUUAUCAGUUCCGCCUUAGAUUCUGUUCAGGUAGCGCGUGUAUUUUCCAAGUUAGAUCUCCGGAUCGCGUACCAUCUUGUUCGCAUGCACGAGGGAGAUGAAUGAAAAACUGCCUUCAACACCCCUCUAGGGCACUCCGAAUACCCAGUGAUGCCUUUUGGGCUCACUAACGCCCCAGCAGUGUUUCAGCACCUCGUUAAUGAUGUUCUCCGGGAUUUUCUUAAUAGAUUCGUAUUUGUGACGACAUACUCGUCUAUUCUCCUAACUUAGAACAACACACCAACCAUGUACGCCGGUUUGCAUUCACCAUCACCUAUAGUCCUGGUAGUUGGAACGUUAAACCUGAUGCCCUUUCACGUGUCUUCCCCCAAGAGGCCGUCCAUCUACGUCAUAGGAAACAUUACUUGGGAUAUAGAGACGCGCGUCCUACAGGCCCAGCACGAAGAACCUGAUCAUCCUCUUCCCCCAGCUAAUCUAUUAUAUGUUCCUACUUCACUUCGUUCGGACGUUCUCACUUGGGGUCACUCCUCCCGUAUUGCCUGCCACGGAGGGACCCAAAGAACGCUCAAUCUAAUGGGUAAUAGCAUAGGUUUUUCUGGCCGACCAUGGAGCGGGAUGUUAGGGAGUUUGUUGCUGCAUGUACCAUCUGCGCCAGAUCUAAAUCUUCCAAUGCGCCCCCGGCCCUCUACCUAUCGCCAAACGCCCUUGGUCCCACCUGGCCAUAGACUUCUUUACUGGAUUACCCCCGUCUUUAGGUAAUACGGUUAUUCUUACCAUUAUCGAUCGCUUUUCAAGGACAUUGUAUCCGACCGGGGACCACAAUUCGUGUCCCAGGUCUGGAGGGCCUUCUGCUCUGCCCUGGGCACCACAGUCAUUCUUACCUCAGGUUAUCACCCACAAUCUAAUAGACAAGCAGAGCGCGCUAAUCAAGAGCUAGAAGCCGCUCACCGCUGUCUUGCCGCUCAAAAUCCGGCCAAUUGGUCUAAGUUUCUUGUAUAGACAGAGUACGCGCACAAUAAUCAUCCCUCCUCCGCCACAGGUAUGUCCCCAUUCGAAGCUUCACUCGGCUACUCACCUCCUCUGUUCCCCUCUCACGAGCUUGAUCUAGCGGUUCCCUCUGUCCAACACCAUCUGCAGUGCAACCAACGCUUCCGGCACCAAGCCAAGGCUGCUCUCUUACGCACCCGGGAGAAAAACUGCCGCUUGGCCAACUGUCGCAGAAGGGCUGGUCCUGAUAACCAAUCGGGUCAAAAAGUCUGGCUGUCGUCACGGAACAUUCCCCUUCAAGCUACCUCCCGCAAACUGGCUCCCAGUUAUAUUGGCCCUUACGUCAUCGAGAGGAUUAUCAACCCCUCCUGCGUCAGACUGCGGCACUCAAGGUACACCCCUCUUUCCAUAUUUCACAAAUUAAACCCUUCCAGGAGAGUCCCCUUUGCCCACCGUCCACUUCCCCACCACCCACCCGGCGCCCCUGCCUUCACAGUCAGUCGGACUUUGGACAUUCGCCGCCGGGGCCGCGGUUUUCAGUAUUUGGUGGACUGGGAGGGUUACGGUCCGGAGGAGCGCUCGUGGAUCUCCCGCUCUAUGAUUCUGGACCGUUCCCUCCUGGAUGACUUCUUCCGGGCCCACCCGGAUUGCCGUCCCGGACCGCCUGGAGGCGGUCGUUGAGGGGGGGUACAGUCACGGUGCCUCUGUCAGAUCACAUCCCCCCUCACAGCUCCUGCUCUGCUGAUUGGAACCAGCUGACCAUCAUCACCUCAUCAUCUGCCAGACCUUCAUAAGGGAGCGGCUCACCAGAAUCCAACGCCAGUUCGUUAAACUCACUCCGGUUCAUUUCCACGGGUCAAGCUGGUUCCCCCUCAUCCAGAGCUCCACUUCUCAUUCCAAGCUGGUUCCGCCGUCCUCGGCGUCCACACCUCGCCUCAAGUUGGUUACCCU